GACGAACGCUGGCGGCGUGCUUAACACAUGCAAGUCGAACGGAAAGGCCCUGCUUGCAGGGUACUCGAGUGGCGAACGGGUGAGUAACACGUGGGUGAUCUGCCCUGCACUUCGGGAUAAGCCUGGGAAACUGGGUCUAAUACCGGAUAGGAGCCAUUUUUAGUGUGAUGGUUGGAAAGUUUUUUCGGUGUAGGAUGAGCUCGCGGCCUAUCAGCUUGUUGGUGGGGUAAUGGCCUACCAAGGCGGCGACGGGUAGCCGGCCUGAGAGGGUGGACGGCCAAAUUUGGAACUGGAUAAGGGCCAGAAUCCCUCGGGGGGGAGCAGGUGGGAAUAUUUCAAAAUUGGGGGAAGGCCGGUGCAGGGGAGGCGCGGGGGGGAUGACGGCCUUCGGGUUGUAAACUCCUUUCGCUAGGGACGAAGCUUUUUGUGACGGUACCUAGAUAAGAAGCACCGGCUAACUACGUG
rnacentral:rRNA from 1 species